rnacentral:lncRNA from 1 species
AGGGCUGGGAGACAAUACAGCAAAAAGCCUGCCAUGUCCUGGUGACAGGAGCCCAUUUCAGCAGCCAAAAAAUCUUUCCAACAGCUUCUGUUUUGCUGGUAAAUGUCUGUGUUUGUGUUGGUUGUAGGAGGGAACCUGGGAAAACAAGUUGGGUUCUGGAUCAGAAAACGGGUGACUUUGUUAUCCUUUAUAGGACGCAAGCAAAGAGGAUCAUGAGUAAUGGCUCAGUGCCCACUUUUGUCCCCAAAAUGGAAAACCCAAAAUGACAAUACUUUCCAUUAGAAAACUCCUCUGUGUUUUGGAAUAACAGGAAAGACAGGAGCAAACUUGGCCAGAUAUACCCUUUAUAGGCAGAAUUAGUAACUGAAGGAGGAAGAGCUAAUGCUAAACACACUCUAGCUGCUGGGGCCCUUCUACAUGUGUGUGUAUGUGUGUGUGCAGAAGAGUAAAAGUGUGUGUGAGAGAGAGGUGUGUGUGAAUUACACGACCCUGCCACAUGUUCUGAGAAACUUUUGCAAAUCCUAAAAUACAAGAGGCAUUAGUUUAAAAAUAUCAUUAUCCUAAAUUUGGCUCCACCUCAUCAAGCCCAACUAAAUUCACCUAAUUAAAUCCAUUUUCAUCAUUCAAAUUUAUCAGUUCUAUUUUCCUUGUAAAUAAGAGAAGCCUUAAAAAUUGCAGCACUAAAAUAUUCUUACAAUUAUUUAUUUUAAACAGUUGUGCACCAAGUUGAGAUGCUUUGAAGGACAUUUUUAAAGCAAUAAUCUCAAUGAUAAACCUUAGCUAAUUCUAGGAAACAAGUCAGACAGUCAAUCUAUCCAGCUAAAUUGAAUUUUUAUAAAAUUAAAAUGAAAUAUGAAAAAAUACAGACAAAACAUUCACCACUUAACUGCAAACACUGAACCUAAACCCAAAUAGUUCAUGAUUCGUCAUGCUGAUGGAAUGUAUGUGGAGAAAUUUAUCAUGCCUACCAGUGGUGCACAUUCCCUGAUACACUAGAUCUUUCUUUCUAAUUAUCAUAUAGUUAUGGUAAUCUAAAAUAAAUACAGCGGCUAUGUUUUUACAUUCUAUAUUUUAUCUUUGGUUUAGACCCUUGCUUCAGGUCCUAGGAAGGUUCUGAAGGUCAAGUGAAGGAAAGGACUCCUGUCCAGCAAGCUGUGUCAUACCUCCCCACCUGCUUGUAUCAGUCCCAAACCCACCAUCACCUCAGGUUGACUGCAAUUAGCACAACUGUGCUGUCAUCACCUGCUCUAGGUUUAGAGAGAAACUGCACUUAACAUCAGGAAUGAAGGUGCUUUUGGGAAAAACUAAAAACCAGAUGAACAUCGUUUCAGAAAGGAAGAGGGGGGAAAGACUAGAGAUUCUCCUUGAUCUGAAAUAACGAGGUACAAACUCUGAAACAGAACACUGCAUUCAAGCAGAGGGGAAUGGAGGUGAAGAACAUUGCCUGGGAAAUAAAAGACAUGAGAUAAACUGGCAUCACAAUGAA